rnacentral:rRNA from 1 species
AGAGUUUGAUCCUGGCUCAGGAUAAAACGCUGGCGGCGCACAUAAGACAUGCAAGUCGAACAACUUAACCAUUAGUUUACUAUUGGAGCGGUUAGUGGCGGACUGGUGAGUAACACGUAAGCAACCUGCCUAUCAGAGGGGGAACAACAGUUAGAAAUGACUGCUAAUACCGCAUAUGCCUUAGAAUCACAUGGUUCAAAAAGGGGAAAGGAGCAAUCCACUGAUAGAUGGGCUUGCGU